rnacentral:rRNA from 1 species
GAGCGGAAAGGCCCUUCGGGGUACUCGAGCGGCGAACGGGUGAGUAACACGUGAGCAACCUGCCCCUGGCUCUGGGAUAGCCUCCGGAAACGGGGAUUAAUACCGGAUAUUCACUUCCUUCCGCAUGGUUGGUGGUGGAAAGUUUUUCGGCUAGGGAUGAGCUCGCGGCCUAUCAGCUAGUUGGUGGGGUAACGGCCUACCAAGGCGACGACGGGUAGCCGGCCUGAGAGGGCGACCGGCCACACUGGGACUGAGACACGGCCCAGACUCCUACGGGAGGCAGCAGUGGGGAAUAUUGCGCAAUGGGCGAAAGCCUGACGCAGCGACGCCGCGUGGGGGAUGAAGGCCUUCGGGUUGUAAACCCCUUUCAGGAGGGACGAAGCGAAAGUGACGGUAUCUGCAGAAGAAGCGCCGGCUAACUACGUCCCAGCAGAUGCGGUAAG